rnacentral:ncRNA from 1 species
GCCGGGACGACCCGGCCAGAAGCAAAAGGCCCUGUUCGGCGGGACGACCUGC